AUUGAACGCUGGCGGCAGGCUUAACACAUGCAAGUCGAGCGGGGUGAUGGUGCUUGCACUAUCACUUAGCGGCGGACGGGUGAGUAAUGCUUAGGAAUCUGCCUAUUAGUGGGGGACAACAUCUCGAAAGGGAUGCUAAUACCGCAUACGUCCUACGGGAGAAAGCAGGGGAUCACUUGUGACCUUGCGCUAAUAGAUGAGCCUAAGUCGGAUUAGCUAGUUGGUGGGGCAAAGGCCUACCAAGGCGACGAUCUGUAGCGGGUCUGAGAGGAUGAUCUGCCACACUGGGACUGAGACACGGCCCAGACUCCUACGGGAGGCAGCAGUGGGGAAUAUUGGACAAUGGGGGGAACCCUGAUCCAGCCAUGCCGCGUGUGUGAAGAAGGCCUUAUGGUUGUAAAGCACUUUAAGCGAGGAGGAGGCUCUUUUGGUUAAUACCCAAGAUGAGUGGACGUUACUCGCAGAAUAAGCACCGGCUAACUCUGUGCCAGCAGCCGCGGUAA
rnacentral:rRNA from 1 species